ensembl:snoRNA LOC120094481 small nucleolar RNA SNORA48
CAACCCUGUAAUGAGCAAAGAGACACCUUGUUCUUGGCGUUAUUCUUCUAUCAGUCAGGGGCAGAUGGCAGUCCUUUGUUAAUCCUAGCUUGAUGCCUGGCUUGGUGGUGUCUUACGCCUAAGAUUCAUAA